GCAUCGGUGCUUCAGUGGAACAAUGCUCGCCUGCCACGCGGGCGGCCCCGGGUUCGAUUCCCGGCCGAUGCA